AGUGAACGCUGGCGGUAGGCCUAACACAUGCAAGUCGAACGGCAGCACAGUAAGAGCUUGCUCUUACGGGUGGCGAGUGGCGGACGGGUGAGGAAUACAUCGGAAUCUACUUUUUCGUGGGGGAUAACGUAGGGAAACUUACGCUAAUACCGCAUACGACCUACGGGUGAAAGCAGGGAUCUUCGGACCUUGCGCGAUUGAAUGAGCCGAUGUCGGAUUAGCUAGUUGGCGGGGUAAAGGCCCACCAAGGCGACGAUCCGUAGCUGGUCUGAGAGGAUGAUCAGCCACACUGGAACUGAGACACGGUCCAGACUCCUACGGGAGGCAGCAGUGGGGAAUAUUGGACGAUGGGCGCAAGCCUGAUCCAGCCAUACCGCGUGGGUGAAGAAGGCCUUCGGGUUGUAAAGCCCUUUUGUUGGGAAAGAAAAGCAGCAGGUUAAUACCCCGCUGUUCUGACGGUACCCAAAGAAUAAGCACCGGCUAACUUCG
rnacentral:rRNA from 1 species